rnacentral:ncRNA from 1 species
UGAGGUAGAGGCGCGAUAUUUAUUAGAUUACAGCAGAGUGUAAGCAACGAUGAAGCUAUAAUGAAGGAAAUAUCGCCGAAGUGUAUAAGUGAGCUUUACGCUUAUAUGCUGGGGUUGCAGUUAACAAUUGCAACACUGUCUUAGUAAACGUUAUUCCUUUU